UACGUAGAGUGCGAGCGUUAAUCGGAAUUAUUGGGCGUAAAGCGCGCGCAGGCGGUUUCUUAAGUCUGAUGUGAAAGCCCACGGCUCAACCGUGGAGGGUCAUUGGAAACUGGGGAACUUGAGUGCAGAAGAGAAAAGCGGAAUUCCACGUGUAGCGGUGAAAUGCGUAGAGAUGUGGAGGAACACCAGUGGCGAAGGCGGCUUUUUGGUCUGUAACUGACGCUGAGGCGCGAAAGCGUGGGGAGCAAACAGG
rnacentral:rRNA from 1 species